rnacentral:lncRNA from 1 species
GGAUACCUUUUGAGUAGAAAUUUAAAAAAAAUUUUAUCCAGAAUCUAAACAUCUUCAUGUUGUGUUUUAAUAUUCAGACACCUCUCAUCCUGAUCUGGGUUUAGAAGCUUGAUUGGGAAAGGCCUUUAGAGUGGCAUUUAGGACGUGGUGUUCUUUACAAAGAAAGCUGCCUAUUUUUCUUUUCUCCAGGGGAACUGCCGUGUAGGACAGGCACAAAGCUGGGAACAUAACCAAGGGCAGAAAAAAAUUCACCCCCGUGUUCUAUUUGUCAAACUGACCUGCGGGUCACAACCUGAGAGUUUAUGGAUCUGUGAGGCCUUGUCUCUGCAUAAGCGUGUUUUCUGGACUUUGGCUGAAGCUAAAUUCCUCACUUCUGAAAGAGGAGUGGGUGUGGACUUCCAGCAGGAAUAGCCAGUGGGAAGGAAGUAAUAUUCAUUAAGAGUGUCUCAUGCAAGCAGUGCGGGGCUAAGCAUGCUCAGUGUAAAUUCUCCUGUAGCCUGUCAAGCUAUGUUUGAACUCGUUCCAGAUUCCUGGAUUUACUUUUUUUUUCUACCAGGAAGAAUGCUCGAUUAGACUGCAUUUUGCUCUGCUUUUCUUUUUCUUUCUUUCUUUCUUCCCUUUCUUUUUCUUUUUCUCUCUUUCUUUCCGCCAGAAGAUUGGAAACAAUAUUCUUUUCCGAUCAGUUCAGUAAUACAAUGUCCUUCAGUGUCCACAUGAGCGUUUCAGUGAAGAAGAAAAGAAACUUUGCUACCUGGGAACUGAAGACUACUUAGAUCAGUGAAUGCUAAUAAAGUCCUUAAGGACUUGCGGAGCCAGGAGUUAACUUUUCUCAACUAUUAAGUGAAGAUGCUGGUGUUCCACAUCCAAUUGCUCUCGUCUUUCCAAGACUGUGGCACUCCAGGAAAUCUUCCCUACUGAAGGGGGACCACGAGCUACAGUAUCUCUUAGAUGAAAUCAACCGCAUUGCAAACUAAAAGGAAGAAAAGUAACAAAGAACUUGAAGACUUUCAUGACUCCCAGGCCCUGGAUGGAGGCAGGCGGCACCAGACAGACAGAACCAAGAAAUCAGAGGGGCAGCCAGGAGGUGCCUGUGGCUGCAGAGCCCAGCCACCUUCAAAUGUUCUUUUUCCCGGCCUCGGCUACAUUUUUCUAUUUCUCAGACAUGCAGAUAAUGAUCGAUGGUGUCUGCCUGGCCACCUGAAGAGCGAUUUGUCUGUGUCCUGGACACCGUGCUGCCCGAGUAAAUGUCACACCAUGUCUCAGGCACAUGAUCAGACUGAAUAUGCUUGAAAGAAGCAAAUAAGAGGCUGUGUUUAUAAUCCCACCCCGUAUUUCCUGCCUGGGAUGUUCUUUCCAGACCACUUGUUACUUAUUCAUUGAGAUGUCUCAGACGGGAAAUUGGGUUCUGCACUCUGGGUCAGGCUGACUCGGUUGACCUAUGAAGGCUGAAGUUGGCUUUGAUGCUGUGGACACAUUUACCCUUUCCUCGGGUUCCGGAAGCAGUGUGGUGUAUGGGGAAAGAAGUGUAGACCAUGGGCAAAUCCCUUGACUUCACUGAACCUUCUCCUCCCCAUCUGUCAAAAGAAGUUAUUGCUUCUGUUUCUUUCUGCAUCCAAUGGGGGAUGUGAGGCCACAUGUGCAAGCUCAUGAUUCACGCCAUACUCACGCCAAAAACUUGUAACUCCACAGUGUUAUCUAAUUAUAAGAUAUCGUCAUCUGCCGCACGUUUCUUACUAGUGACUUACCCGUAUUUUACAACUUCAAUUGUUCUAAAAGCUGUCUUUCCCCUGAUGCUAAUUCAUUCUUUUAUUUCUUUUCUUUUCCACCAAUUGACUGAUAAAUCAUUUAUAGAGAUGCCAAGUUUGUCAUACACCUACUCACCUUCAAAAAUUUGCUAUCCUAUCUAAAUCCCAUGUAUAGAUGCAUAAUAUGUACAUAGACUGUUUGUAUUUUUCUAAAACCACGAAACACAUAUAUACAUCCCUUCUCCUUUCAAGCACGUACUUAUUCCCCUUUUAAUACAAAAUAUGUACAAAUAUAUAUUUGAGCAAAAAACAUACACUGAUGUUUACACAGCACACUCACUCAGAAAGCAGAUUUAGUGGGGAAGAGGGACGCACACCUCUAUCAGCAUUUCAGCUAUUGUAGAGUCCAGAAGGGACCACAAGACACAAUUCAUGUGGUUAAAAAAAAAAUCAUGGAUCAAUUUCUGCCCUGUUCCUAGUAAUGAAUAUCAAUAUCUUGCCUCUUCCAGACAGACUCUCAGCAGCUUCGGAUAUUUUUAAAUGAGUUUUUUAAAUACAUUUGCAAAGUCAAUUAUUUUGAAUCUCAUCUGAAGCAAUUAAAAAACAUCCUGACAUUUAAGGUGAUAUUUUUUCCCAAGUAAAAUAAUUAUAAAUAAUACUAAUUAUGAACAAAUCAUUCAGUUACUCUCAGUCUGAUUCAACCUUUAGAGUAAUAAACCAAUCCAUUAAAACUCA